AGAGUUUGAUCCUGGCUCAGGACGAACGCUGGCGGCGUGCCUAAUACAUGCAAGUCGAGCGAGCAGAACCAGCAGAUUUACUUCGGUAAUGACGCUGGGACGCGAGCGGCGGAUGGGUGAGUAACACGUGGGGAACCUGCCCCAUAGUCUGGGAUACCACUUGGAAACAGGUGCUAAUACCGGAUAAGAAAGCAGAUCGCAUGAUCAGCUUAUAAAAGGCGGCGUAAGCUGUCGCUAUGGGAUGGCCCCGCGGUGCAUUAGCUAGUUGGUAAGGCAACGGCUUACCAAGGCAAUGAUGCAUAGCCGAGUUGAGAGACUGAUCGGCCACAUUGGGACUGAGACACGGCCCAAACUCCUACGGGAGGCAGCAGUAGGGAAUCUUCCACAAUGAACGCAAGUCUGAUGGAGCAACGCCGCGUGAGUGAAGAAGGUUUUCGGAUCGUAAAGCUCUGUUGUUGGUGAAGAAGGAUAGAGGCAGUAACUGGCCUUUAUUUGACGGUAAUCAACCAGAAAGUCACGGCUAACUACGUGCCAGCAGCCGCGGUAAUACGUAGGUGGCAAGCGUUGUCCGGAUUUAUUGGGCGUAAAGCGAGCGCAGGCGGAAGAAUAAGUCUGAUGUGAAAGCCCUCGGCUUAACCGAGGAACUGCAUCGGAAACUGUUUUUCUUGAGUGCAGAAGAGGAGAGUGGAACUCCAUGUGUAGCGGUGGAAUGCGUAGAUAUAUGGAAGAACACCAGUGGCGAAGGCGACUCUCUGGUCUGCAACUGACGCUGAGGCUCGAAAGCAUGGGUAGCGGACAGGAUUAGAUACCCUGGUAGUCC
rnacentral:rRNA from 1 species